rnacentral:rRNA from 1 species
CCUUCAAGUAACUGCCUUAUCAACUUUCGAUGGUAGGUUAUUCGCCUACCAUGGUUGUAACGGGUAACGGGGAAUCAGGGUUCGGUUCCGGAGAGGACGCCUGAGAGACGGCGACCACAUCCAAGGAAGGCAGCAGGCGCGCAAAUUACCCAAUCCCAGUUCGGGGAGGUAGUGACGAAAAAUAACAAUACGAUUGCACUUAUGUGUGUUCGUAAUUGUAAUGAGUACAGUUUAAAUCCUUUAACGAGGAUCAAUUGGAGGACAAGUCUGGUGCCAGCACCCGCGGUAAUUCCAGCUCCAAUAGCGUAUAUUAAAGUUGUUGUGGUUAAAAAGCUCGUAGUUGGAUCUCAGUUCACGUUUGGCGGUCUAUCACAAUGCGUGUUUAC